rnacentral:misc_RNA from 1 species
UGCUAAUUUCCAUGGUUUGGGGAAGUAUUGAAUUCUUAGAAUUGCGUUGAAUAUUACUGUUAUUAGUCUUAUUGCUUUUGGCGGAAGGUUUUUUAAGAUUUUACCAUUAAUUAGGUCGAUUCCUGGCGCUUUGUUGUUUUUUGUUUUAUCAAUUAUGUUUCUAAUUUCUUGUGCCGAUGUUUUAGGUAUGGUGUAUUCCUUGUCGGCUGUGGUAGCAGUGGUUUGUGGAUCCUCCUCCGUAUGACUUUUGAGGUUGCUGUUGUUGAUGAUGUGUGGUGUGAAUGUGUUGCAGAGGUGGUUGGAGAAUUCUUCAGCUUGUUCUUCGUUGCUUCUUGCCCAUGUGUUAUCUGCUUUUCUGAUUGCCGGGACGGGUAUUAUUGGCUUCCUUAUUUUUUUCGUGGCUUUCCAUAGUGAAUAGUUGGUGUUCUCG